ACUCCUACGGGAGGCAGCAGUGGGGAAUAUUGCACAAUGGGAAGGCCAUCGAUGCAGCCAUGCCGCGCUGUGUGAAGAAGGCCAGAUCGGGCUUGGUUAAGAUACUUUCAGCAGUGAGGAAGGUGGAGUCGUUAAUAGCGGCCUCAUUUGACGUUAGCUGCAGAAGAAGCACCGGCUAACUCCGUGCCAGCAGCCGCGGUAAUACGGAGGGUGCGAGCGUUAAUCGGAAUUACUGGGCGUAAAGCGCAUGCAGGUGGUUUGUUAAGUCAGAUGUGAAAGCCC
rnacentral:rRNA from 1 species